rnacentral:rRNA from 1 species
GACGAACGCUGGCGGCGUGCUUAACACAUGCAAGUCGAACGGAAAGGCCUUGCAUUUGUGGGGUGCUCGAGUGGCGAACGCGUGAGUAUCACGUGAGUAGCCUGCCCUUUACUUUGGGAUAACUUCAGUAAACUGGGGCUAAUACCCGAUAUGAGCUCCUUCUGCACGGUGGGGGUUGUAAAGUUUCGGCGGUUGGGGAUGGACUCGUGGCUUAUCAGCUUGUUGGUGGGGUAGUGGCUUACCAAGGCUUUGACGGGUAGCCGGCCUGAGAGGGUGACCGGCCACAUUGGGACUGAGAUGCGACCAAGACUCAUACGGGAGGAAGGAGUGGAGAACAGUGCACGAAGGGCGGAAGGAGGAAGGAGGGUCGCCGGGUGCGAGAUGACGGCCUGCAGGUUAUAAAGCGCGUGAGCCUGUAAAGAAGAGUGAGUGACGGUAAUGGGUAAAGAAGCAACGGCUAACUACGUG